GGGUCGGUAGUCUAGCUUGGUAUGAUUCUUGCUUGGGGAACAGGUUGGGUUUUCCAUCGUGUUGAGAAUCGCCCCCGGCCCACCA
rnacentral:tRNA from 1 species